rnacentral:rRNA from 1 species
UUUGAUCAUGGCUCAGAUUGAACGCUGGCGGCAUGCCUUACACAUGCAAGUCGAACGGUAACAGGCCUUUCGGGGUGCUGACGAGUGGCGAACGGGUGAGUAAUGCAUCGGAACGUGUCCAGUGGUGGGGGAUAACCCCGAGAAAUCGGGGCUAAUACCGCAUGAGCCCGAGAGGGGAAAGCGGGGGACCUGAUGAGGGCCUCGCGCGACUGGAGCGGCCGAUGUCCGAUUAGCUAGUUGGUGGGGUAAAGGCCCACCAAGGCGACGAUCGGUAGCGGGUCUGAGAGGACGGCCCGCCACACUGGGACUGAGACACGGCCCAGAUUCCUACGGGAGGCAGCAGUGGGGAAUUUUGGACAAUGGGCGAAAGCCUGAUCCAGCCAUGCCGCGUGCGGGAAGAAGGCCUUCGGGUUGUAAACCGCUUUCGGCCGGGACGAAAUCGCUUUCCUGAACAGGGGGGGUGGAUGACGGUACCGGCAGAAGAAGCACCGGCUAAUUACGUGCCAGCAGCCGCGGUAAUACGUAGGGUGCGAGCGUUAAUCGGAAUUACUGGGCGUAAAGCGUGCGCAGGCGGCCUUUUAAGUCAGGUGUGAAAGCCCCGGGCUUAACCUGGGAAUGGCGCUUGAAACUGGAGGGCUUGGAGUGCGGCAGAGGGGGGUGGAAUUCCUGGUGUAGCGGUGAAAUGCGUAGAGAUCAGGAGGAACACCGAUGGCGAAGGCAGCCCCCUGGGCCGCGUCUGACGCUCAGGCACGAAAGCGUGGGGAGCAAACAGGAUUAGAUACCCUG